CCAGACUCCUACGGGAGGCAGCAGUGGGGAAUAUUGCACAAUGGGGGAAACCCUGAUGCAGCGACGCCGCGUGAGUGAAGAAGUAUUUCGGGUUGUAAACUUCUUUUCUGGGGGACGAAGAAAGUGACGGUACCCCAGGAAUAAGCCACGGCUAACUACGUGCCAGCAGCCGCGGUAAUACGUAGGUGGCAAGCGUUAUCCGGAUUUAUUGGGUGUAAAGGGCGUGUAGGCGGGAAUGCAAGUCAGAUGUGAAAACUAUGGGCUCAACCCAUAGCCUGCAUUUGAAACUGUAUUUCUUGAGUGCUGGAGAGGCAAUCGGAAUUCCGUGUGUAGCGGUGAAAUGCGUAGAUAUACGGAGGAACACCAGUGGCGAAGGCGGAUUGCUGGACAGUAACUGACGCUGAGGCGCGAAAGCGUGGGGAGCAAACAGGAUUAGAUACCCGCGUAAC
rnacentral:rRNA from 1 species